GAAUAUAAGUUCUUACGGUACUCCAACUCCCUAUGGAGGUAUGGGUUGUUACAGCUCUUAUCCAAUCAUUUCAAAUAGGAGGAUCAAAGCACACAACUUCUCGACAUGAUCCACUCGAUGGAACAAGAGGUUUAGUGCUUAACAAUUGAUCUAUUUUUCUCUUAUUUGUUUACUGAUCAUGUACAUAUAUCAAUGUCGUUGAUUGAUUUGCAUUCAAUUUUUCUAAAAUGGAUAUCAUAGAUCACUUUCUUAUUGCAAUGUGUGAAAUGAAAGGAGAU
rnacentral:lncRNA from 1 species